rnacentral:lncRNA from 1 species
UGGUAGUAAUAUUUAUUAACUUUCAGAUAGCGUGUUAACCGCUUCGUUUAUUUUAUUUAAAAAUAAAUUUAGUUGAAAAUGUGAAUCAAUCAAUUAAGAUUUGAACUUGGGAACUCAGGGGACUAAUCAUUAAGAUCUUUGCCACUUGCGCUAAAUUAUUGAACAUAUAUUUUGUUCACCUCAUUAAAUUUCAAUAUACAGUAAUCUUUGCAGAUAUUUUGUAAAAUAAAAUUAUACCCCAUCAAAUUCAAAAAAUUAUAUAUAUUUCAC